ensembl:ncRNA C47C12.9 ncRNA
UGAAUAAUAAACAGGCGAGAUUAUCACAAAAGCGAAGCAAUAGGAUCGUUUCGAGAUUUGCUUGACAAUAGGAGUUACUGACAUCGUAAAUCUUGCGAUCCUCAAAAGUUGCGGAUCGAAGAAUAACCCCCUUUCCCUGCUUUGGAAUUCAUGAUGAUGAAUGUGUGGGUUCUAUUAUGAAAAGGGCCUGGUCAUACUGCCCGGAAUCAUUAUUGCUUUUUCAAUAGCAAAUGCUUGUGUGGAAGGCAACUCAAGAGCUGCUCAGUGAUGAGAGGAAUAUCUAUCACCUGCGUUUGACACUUGACAUUGGAAUUGCAUGUAUCAUUUCAUUAAGAGCAUACCUAACCUAUGCUAAUCCCUUAUUACACCUUCUACAACAACAACCACUCUCUC